rnacentral:rRNA from 1 species
UACAGAGGUCCCAAGCGUUGUUCGGAUUCACUGGGCGUAAAGGGUGCGUAGGUGGUGAGGAAAGUCGGAUGUGAAAUCUCCGGGCUUAACCCGGAAACUGCAUUGGAAACUGCCUUGCUAGAGGUUUUGAGGGGGGACUGGAAUUCUCGGUGUAGCAGUGAAAUGCGUAGAUAUCGAGAGGAACACCAGUGGCGAAGGCGAGUCCCUGGAAAACACCUGACACUGAGGCACGAAAGCUAGGGGAGCAAACAGG